GCUGGACUCAGGUUCAAAGUCAGAUGUGUGCUGGAUCCUUCCAUAGGCUCGUUAACCAGGUUUCAUCAUGCCUAGGUAAGCCUUUCCAUCUCCAGGACCAUUAAAACAUUCCCUCAUGCUUUCUUCUGUUAUUUCACCGAUUUACCUGAAGUGCCAUCUUCAUCAUACACCGAAUUCCUUUGUGUGGUUGGAUCCAGCUCUCUUUUCCAAUUUGUUCCACUGAUCCGUGUAGUUCUGCUUCAAUACCAUGCUGCUUUAAAUACAUUGGCUUUAUGUUUUCA